rnacentral:rRNA from 1 species
UAAUGAUUAUGACGUACUUGUACUGAUUGAGAUUUUAACACGAAGUGAGUGGCGAACGGGUGAGUAACACGUGGGUAACCUGCCCAGAAGUAGGGGAUAACACCUGGAAACAGAUGCUAAUACCGUAUAACAGAGAAAACCGCAUGGUUUUCUUUUAAAAGAUGGCUCUGCUAUCACUUCUGGAUGGACCCGCGGCGUAUUAGCUAGUUGGUGAGGUAAAGGCUCACCAAGGCAGUGAUACGUAGCCGACCUGAGAGGGUAAUCGGCCACAUUGGGACUGAGACACGGCCCAGACUCCUACGGGAGGCAGCAGUAGGGAAUCUUCCACAAUGGACGCAAGUCUGAUGGAGCAACGCCGCGUGAGUGAAGAAGGGUUUCGGCUCGUAAAGCUCUGUUGUUAAAGAAGAACGUGGGUAAGAGUAACUGUUUACCCAGUGACGGUAUUUAACCAGAAAGCCACGGCUAACUACGUGCCAGCAGCCGCGGUAAUACGUAGGUGGCAAGCGUUAUCCGGAUUUAUUGGGCGUAAAGCGAGCGCAGGCGGUCUUUUAAGUCUAAUGUGAAAGCCUUCGGCUCAACCGAAGAAGUGCAUUGGAAACUGGGAGACUUGAGUGCAGAAGAGGACAGUGGAACUCCAUGUGUAGCGGUGAAAUGCGUAGAUAUAUGGAAGAACACCAGUGGCGAAGGCGGCUGUCUGGUCUGCAACUGACGCUGAGGCUCGAAAGCAUGGGUAGCGAACAGGAUUAGAUACCCUGGUAGUCCAUGCCGUAAACGAUGAUUACUAAGUGUUGGAGGGUUUCCGCCCUUCAGUGCUGCAGCUAACGCAUUAAGUAAUCCGCCUGGGGAGUACGACCGCAAGGUUGAAACUCAAAAGAAUUGACGGGGGCCCGCACAAGCGGUGGAGCAUGUGGUUUAAUUCGAAGCUACGCGAAGAACCUUACCAGGUCUUGACAUCUUCUGACAGUCUAAGAGAUUAGAGGUUCCCUUCGGGGACAGAAUGACAGGUGGUGCAUGGUGUCGUCAGCU